UUUCAUCACAGAUGAUGCGCAGGGCUACUAUGAAGGAAACGAUGUUUACAAAAACCGUAUAGCUGGGUUUGAGAUUCGGUCUCACGCCAAUCCAACAGUCGUGGGAUGUAAAAUACACCACGGUAUGACGGGUGGCAUAUACUGUCAUGACGAUGCACGUGGUGAAUUCCUGGAAAAUAAGAUAUAUUCUAACACA